rnacentral:rRNA from 1 species
AACGAACGCUGGCGGCAUGCCUAACACAUGCAAGUCGAACGAGACCUUCGGGUCUAGUGGCGCACGGGUGCGUAACGCGUGGGAAUCUGCCCUUGGGUUCGGAAUAACAGUUGGAAACGACUGCUAAUACCGGAUGAUGACGUAAGUCCAAAGAUUUAUCGCCCAAGGAUGAGCCCGCGUAGGUUUAGCUAGUUGGUGAGGUAAAGGCUCACCAAGGCGACGAUCCUUAGCUGGUCUGAGAGGAUGAUCAGCCACACUGGGACUGAGACACGGCCCAGACUGCUACGGGAGGCAGGAGUGGGGAAUAUUGGACAAUGGGCGAAAGCCUGAUGCAGCAAUGCCGCGUGAGUGAUGAAGGCCUUAGGGUUGUAAAGCUCUUUUACCCGGGAUGAUAAUGACAGUACCGGGAGAAUAAGCGCCGGCUAACUCCGUG